CGUUUCUGCCUUCAUUUCCUUUCUGGGAUUUGCAGUUCGGUGCAGGGUGGCAUGGAGAGGACAAUCUGGGACUGCCUGCUAGAGGCCCUGGAGGACCUUGAGGAGCAGAAAUUCAAGGAGUUCAUGUUCAAACUUGAUGACAUCCCGGUGAAGGAGGACUGCAGGAAUAUCCCCCGGGGCCAGCUGGAGAAGGCAGACCGCCUGGACCUCACGAACAUGCUGAUCGGUUUUUAUGGGCAGGACUACGCCAUGGAGGUGACCAUAGCUGUGCUGGAGGCCAUCAACAGGAAGGAUCUGGCCUUCAGACUCUGACGGGCAGCCUUUCAUUGACCGCUUCCAGGCCCAGUGAAUCCAGCAGAUCGUGGCGGUGGAAGGCAUCCUGGGCCUGCUCUAUGGAGAAGUCCUGACCACCAAGCAGUGAGUACAAUACACGUCAGGAACAGGUGCGCCCCCUGUACGAGCUGAUGCUGGGCUGGGACCGGCGGUGCAAAGUCUGCCUCUACAAGGUGCUGCGGGCAGGAACAAGUGUCUCAUCUGGGAGCUGGAGAGGACCUAAAGAGAGGAAGUUGUAUGUAUCAGUGGCGCUGCCGGAGAAGGCCUGGACAUGACCCACAUCUCUCCUAAUGAGCUGCCCCUGAACUUUGCUCCUCUUCUGGUUCUCUCUUGCUCCCCUCAGCUCUGGCCCUGCCUCAUGUUGGUCUAGUUACCCUUGCUGAACCUCAUGAGACCAAAAUAGCCCUUACAGGGCGCCUGUACACACCACGGGUUUUAAUCCUUAUUAAAUUUAGUAGGCUUAUAAAAUGUAAACGUGUUUA